UGCCGGAUCCAUCGUCUCCGAGGGCUGAAAAUCGCAGUGAAUAAAGAAUUUUCUGGAGUGUGGGUUCAGGGUAAUUCCACCAUAUACACAAGCACUCCUUACACCGCGAACCAGACGCGGGGUUUAAAGCGCGGAACGUGGACCGGGUUUUACCCUUGAAAAAAGUGGGAGGGACUCCGCGAGCGAGGAUUUCAUGAGCGUUGCCACCGACGAACCGAGCCUCUUCUCGCUCGGCUGCCAUGGACCGCCGUGUGCGCAGUGCAUCGGACUCAACUGCGGCAACCCAG